ensembl:lncRNA
GCUUUGAUCCCCGUGGCUCGCUCUUGUGUUUGUAGCCAUUAUUAGUAACAUCAGCUCGUGCAUGCACUUCUCCCUGCCUGCCCUUGUCUGGCUGCAAGGGAGCAGGGGCAGGAUAACAAAAGAAAGUAUAAAUAGUCUUUUUAAAAGCCUGUUAAAUAGAAGUAGACUUUUUAGGGAGGAGGGAGAAAGAAUGAGGCGUGUUACCAUAGUAACUGCCAAUGGUUUAUUUAAGAAGGGCAAAGAAACAAACACCACAAAAAGGCGAAGUCGAGAGGAGCUGGAGAUCACUGGAGGAAUCUGUCGGGACACAGACAACAUGGGGCCAGGCUUCUGGGUCAGCAGCAUUAUCCUCACUUAGAGAGGCAGAUCUGAAGGACGUAGAGAGAUUAAACAACAUUCUCAGAGCCGUAGAGGAAAUGAGAGGUGACUUGAAGACCUGAACCUGCUUCUCAGAGGGCUAGCACAGACCGAAUGAAAGAGAGAACAAGGAAAAAGAGAGGAAAAUGAACUUGGACACAAAACUCAGCACAUACCUCCAGGUCCUGGACCUCUUGAUAUAGCUUAGUCGUCUCCAGCUGUUCUGUGCUGCAUUACAGGAGUUGGAUAAGAUUCUUUCUCCACCUCUGGUCUCUCUCAUAAGUUUACUUUGGGCCUUUAAGAAUUCACUUCAUCACUACUGGCCAUAGCGCAACUAUACUUUAACUUCCAGCUUUUACCUACAUCCUCUGCUUAGCCAACAGAGAGCAAGGCUGAAGAAUAUUCCCUGACAGGUUCCCAUUUCCCAUGCCAAUUAAAUAAAUUGGCCUUUUCUAUGCUAUGGUGACAGCAGAAUGCAGACUACAAGAGUAGGAGAGGUGUUUGUAUUUUAUUUUAACCAGACAUCCCCAUGAUAAUAAAUCCUACCAGAAGUUACAUCUUUGUUAACUCCCAGAUGUUUUGGAGUAAAUGAGCUGUUUCUCCUAACCAUUUGAAGGCAUUAGGGAUCUCAUCAUCAAUUUUUGAUAUCUUGAGACAUAUACUAGGGACGUGAGAUGAGCAGCCUAAUUCCCAGGCUGCUGAAAUCCAUCUCACUUACUCUUUUGGUUAGAUCUCUUCUGAUUGUGUCAGGCCUAAGUUUUGACUUAAGUGACUAAAGAGUAAAUACUUUUGAACGUACAUAGAUAUCUAAAUCAUUUGACUUCUCUUAAGGUAUCCAAAGCAACUGUAUAGGGCUACUUGAUUUAUAGAGUACCAUACCCUUCUGUAUCAACAUCUGGAAGCCAGAAAGUACAGUUCAAAGCAUCUCAAUGUCUUUAUGUAUCUGCAGGCAUGCUAUUAAACUGAGCAUCUUGUUUACAUAUAGACAUAUACGUGUACAUGCAUAAAUUUGGAUGUGACAGGUUAACUGUGCAAUACAAUACUUUGUUUCAUGUGUAGGUUACUAUGAAAGUAAUGCCUCCUAUUAAUUUCCAUGGAAAUGACAAUAGCUACAAUGAGCACAAUAACACUAUUUGAUAGAGCAAAUUCUCAGCCCAGUACACUAUUUUUUAACACUGUUGCCACCAUUAGCAAUGCAUUUUCACCAACAGUGAACAAGAGCCCUCAUGCCAUACCUGUAAAAUUUGCAUGAUUUUCUGGAAUCUGGCUUGCCUUUCAUGUCAUGUUUACUACUGCUGAAACACACCACCCACCAAUGCACUGUGCUCACAUCCACUAUUUGAUCUCCAUAAAUGUUCACAAGCACUGAUGAAUGUCAAUGGGUGUGAUCUUGAAGGACAUGGAGGAAGGGAGGAAUUCAAUUCCACACCUUUGCUUCAUACAGGCUUCCAUGUGAGAUGCUAUUGUAUCAGACUGUCCCUCUGCUGCCACCUGUUGUACGGCAACAAAAUGUAAUGGAAUAUUGGUGGUAGAUUAAACCUCUACUGCCAUACCACCAGCAUCCACCUCUGAUGUUGUGGACCAACAUAGCAUUAUAGAAUCACUAAGGUUGGAAAAGACCUCCAAGAUCAGACAUAACAAAACAUAACAAAAUAGUAGGCAUUAUUUUUGGUGCAUCCCAUGUAGUUCAAGGCAGCUUAGGAAAUUUUCAUAUUUUUUACUAAUCCUAAUGCUCACCACCACACUCUGUGCUGCUUAUCUUCUUGAACCAGCUGAACUAGUUAGUUUAAAAUCUGCCUCAUUAAAAACCCUGCAGUAAAAGAAAAGGCAAUAUUUUCUUUCUAUUCUUAGAGACAUUUUUUAAUGGCUGCUACUGCAAUUGUUAAAACUUAAUAUUCCAUGAAAAUUUUUAGUGGUAGUAACUUGUGAGCUAGAAUUCACACAGAAGAAGGUUAAAACAGAUUCAAAUCAUAUCAAACAUGUGAAAGUAUUUAGUUUCAAUUAAAUUAAUAAAACUCUAGUUUCUGAUCUUCUUCUCUCCCAAAUUCACAGGUAUUUUUAUAACAUGUAGGCACUUUUCUCACUCUUUCUUUCAUUGUCUAUCUUCAAUAAAUUAUUUACUUACCAUUAAGAAACUGUCAGUCUGUAAAAACAAAACAAGUUGAAAAUUAGAGAAAUUGGUAAAAUCUUAGUUCUUCCCCCCCCCCCCCCCACAUAUGGUUUACAACAGCUUUGUUAAAAGAUAAUAUUUUUUGUUGAGAGGUGCCUAGAAUGACUCACGAAGUAGUCAUCAGUGGUAAUUAUAAUCUGGCAUUUAUUUAGUGAGCUCUUAUUUUCCUAAUCUUCCACGGAAGCUUCUUUAGUCAAGGUCAAAUUCUUUCAGUGUUUUCAUCUACAAGGAGCACGGACAAUUUGCCUUCCCUCUCCUCCAAGUGUUCAAAGACAAUUGGUUUUGUCACUUUCCUAAGCAACCUUCUGAAAUGUGUGGGAAAGGAAACAACCACAAAGAACAUAACUUUUACAUUCAGAGGAGAACAACAUGUCAAAAUUCCUUAAACCAUGAUAAAUGUACCAAAAUCAUCCAGCUCUUUCCAAAUAGCAAUGAGUGAUAGUGAUUUAUGACUGUGGAGAUUUUUCUUAAGCUACUAGUUUCUCUAGAAGAAAGAAAGGUCAUUGUAAGUUAGGGUGUACAUAGCUUAUCUUGUUCUUUGCAGCCUGCCAUUCCCUUUGAACUAGUCCAUGUCAGACUGUAGACCUGUGCUAGAGUACUACCAUUAAUUAUCAUCAUUAUUGUCAUAAAAAUAAGGAAGAAAGGAGCACAUAUGCGCACUCAAAUACUUAACAAGCAUUGUGUUUAUGAACCUCUUGACAUCACCACAUAAGUAAGUCCAAUAGUUCGUAGAAGGAAAAAGCAAAUCCUAACAGGAAAAAGAAAUAGCUGAUUGCUAAGUAGGGAAACAAAAACUGGAUCAAAGAAGGUGAAUGGAAAAAAUUCAGCAAUCUGCACUGUGUUAAAGAGACUGGUCAAUUAUUUACAGGUAACAACAGUCCAAUCCAACAAAUGAUGACAGAAGCUACUGUAUGGGUAGGAAAGUGGAAAUUUUUUUUCUCCAGCAAUUCCUGUUUCUUUACUAUAAUAUCACAGUAAAACUCACUUUUCCAUUGCUCUCCUUAGAGAUUGCCUACCUCCAAUAAGCAAUAGGAUGAAAAGACUUGGCAUGGGCUGAGACUUUGUUUCAUGAAUAUAUCUGAUAGAGACAAUGCAGAAAUCCUGAAGCCUUUGUAACUUUGCUUGUGCAAAAAUUACAUGUAUGAGUAUCAUCCUCAUACCAUGGGUCUGUCCAGCCUAUCAUUUUGGCUUUGGUGAGACAAUACUCAGAUAAGAUGAAUUACCAGAAAACAUGCAGUGAGGCUUCCCCAUAAAACUGACUUUCCAGUAAUUUGUAACAUCCUAAGUAAGAAACAAUCUCAAAUGGAGGCUUCAAUGAGAAUUUAAUGCAAUCUUCUUUCCUGCCUUUCUGCUGUCUAAUGGAAAGGAAUUCCUGCCUCAAAUGGUGUUUAGAAGAGCUGUAUGACUGAGGAAAGACUUAAUCUAUGUCUUCACUUUCUAAGAGUGACUCUUAGAAAUCAAGAAUGAUAUAGCUAAGACCUGAAUCUCAUUACACAAUAACAGAAUAACUAUAGCUUGACUUUAUUUGGAAAUGGUCAGUAGAGGGAUGAUUAAUGUUUCUCAGGGUAAUGUCUCCCAGGGACAAGUCACAUUUCUCGGAGGUUGGUAUUGGGAUCAGUACUAUUUAACAACUUUGUUGUCAACGUGGACAGUGGGAUUAAGUGCACCCUCAGCAAGUUUGCAACUGUCUCCAAGCUGAGUGUUUUGGUCAACACUCUGGAAAGAAGGGAUGCAAUCCAUAGGGACCUUGACCUAUGAAGAAAGGUUGAGAGAGUUGAGGUUUUUCAACUUGGAGAAGAGAAGACUUCAGGUAGAACUUGUACCAGCCUUCCUUCACAUAAACGGGAACUACAGGAAAGCUGGAGAGGGACUCUUUUUCAGACAGUGCAGUAACAGGACAAAGGCUAGUGGUUUUAAGUGGAAAGAGGGAAGAUUUAAAUUAGACAUUAGGAAGAAUUCUUAACUCAGAGUGUGAUGAGGUGCUGGCACAGGCUGCUCAGAGAAUCUGUGGAUGCCCCAACCCUGGAGCUGUUCAAGGCCAGAUUGGAUGGUUCCUCAAAAGGAACCUGACCUAUGGGAGGAGUCUCAUCUCAGAACAGAGAGCUCAUCUUUAAGGUCUCUUCCAACACUAACCAUUCUAAGUUACUAUUUUUCUAUGUUUUUAUGAAAUUCACUUUCUGUAGCACAUAGUACAGGAUGCUGAUGAUUAAAAUAGUUCAAGGAAAGAGAAAAGUAUGGCAGGAGGCUGAAAACUAGGCAGCACUGUCCAGUGCAUUGAUUUUGGCUAAAGAAAUGUGCGGGGCAAACUCCUUAGAAAAAGUGUCACUGUAUGAAUUUGGAUUCAUGAAAACAAAGCAGAUGACUAGCAAGAAAACAAAAAUAGUUCCCAAAUUUUGAAUUAAACCUAAAUUAAAUUAGAAAUAAACCUAAAAAACUUAGUAUAACUUCUACUGGCCUAAACUUUGUUACUGUCUUUUAGCUCUGAAGCUCAUUUAAGAAUGAAGAUCAUGCAAACCUUAUUAAGAUAUCACACUGAAUGAAUCCAAAGUUUACUUGAAGACUUUUGAAACAAAUUUCAUUUCUUUGCCUAUGGAUGCUUGUUUUGUUGUAGAUUGGCUUUGAUUUUAAGCAAGGCUUAAACUCUGACUGAAGCUUUUCUUGUGCUUGGGGCACCUUUACAAGGCUCUGCCCCAUGUAUAUUCCCUGGUAUAUUCCAAGAUUUAUGCUUAUGUUUAUUUUCCCUAUAACCGUGGUGUCUGUAAGACAUCUCACACAUUCAGCCUCCUAUUUGCAUGAAGUUUAAUUAUCUAUGAGGCUUCAGGCUCUUCUGUCGUUCUGGUUAAUGAGCUCAGAAGUUAUUGGCAGUGCAAUGUAUAGACAUACACAAGGUUACUAACACCACCUAAGUUUCAUUUCAGUGGGAAAGCAGCUUAAAAACAGAACAGUUAACUAGAAAACAGAUGGAUGGAUCAUUUACUGUGAGAAAGGCAUGAAGGUCAGAUUUGAACAGAUCGGUUUAAAGGGAUGAUUUCAAAGAGAAAGAGAGCACUUGAGAGCAGAGUUUGAAGCAAAAUAUUUUGUACUCUGCUGUCAGCAGAAAGCGUGAGAUAAUAGAUAUGAAACAGGGAGUGAAAAUGGAGGAAAGGGAUGAGAUAUGGGAGUCCUGAAGGCACCUGAGCAGAAGAAACAUGAUAGUGCAAAUGGAGAUAUGGUGCAUCUGACUGCCUCAGGAGAUGCACUAACUGUAGGAACAUAUUCUUUACAUCAGGAGCUGGUGGGCUGACCCCCAACAGAGCACUGUGGGUUUGGAUCAGCAGGUGGGUGAGCAGAAGACACAAAGAGGGACCUAUCUGUUCUUAAACAGCAGAGCUGACUGAUACCUACACAACUCCUUUUAUGAGGAGGACUAAAAUAGACAGGACUCAGAGAUUUCUUUUUUGUUGUUGUUGUAAGAUUUUGGAUUUUCCCAGGGAAAUUAUUAUUUUUUUUUCCUAUGAAUAAUGCUUUCCUAAUUAUUUUCUUUUCAAACCUUUGGUAGAGAAAACAACAAACAAGCAAAACCCAACAUGUAUUUAUCAUUUUCAUUUCCAGUGUAUCAGAAAAUCUGUGACACAGAAGCAGAUUUUCCCAAUCUUUUCUCUGCUAUGAACAAUUAUUGUGAAUUCCAAAGCAUAUUUGGGGAUGACACCCACCCAAACUCAUCCGACCUUUCUUUAUGAGAAUUCUGGCUACUCAAGUAUGUAGAUUACUCAAAAAAUAAUGUUUCCCAUUUAUUUCUAUGGAAUCUACACAAGAUACGCAGUAACACUAUCUGAUAGAGCAAAUUCUCAGAUACAAAACACUGUUUUUCAAUGUAGUGACCUCCAUCUUGUAUGUAUGUAUCUUGUAUGUAUGCCACUGAUGAGCAAGAGCUUACAUGCCACGCUCAUAAAAAUCUGCACCAGAGGAGGGCACCCAUUGUUUCACAGCUUCUGUGAUGACAUUGUUACUAGGAAAAUGUUGUCCACACAGUCCAUCUUUCAUUGGCAUGAACAGAUGGAAAUCAAAAGAUGCCAAAUCUGGACCAUGUGGUGGCGUGGUUGGAUGGUCCAGCCAAGACUGGCAGUGUGCUCCAGGGUCUUCCAUCUGAUAUGGGUCCUGAUGUCAUUGUGUUGCAGGAUAAGGAUUGUCUGCUUCUCUGGCCUAACUCUAUAUGUGUGAACCUUCAGCUAAGGCAGCAUCAUGACAUAGUGGUCAGAACUGAUGGUUUGUCCAAGUUCCAGGAAAUCCAGAAGGAUCACCAUUUUCUAUCUCAAAAGACAGUGCACAUCACUUUACCCACUGAGGGCUGUCUUGAACUUUUUAUUUGAUGGGGAAUUCACAUGUUGCCACACAUGGACUGCCAUUUUGACUCUGGCUAGUAGUGGUGACAUCAUGUCUUAUCACCAGUACUGAUGUGAUUUAGGAAACUGUCACCUUCAGCAUCAUAUUAUUGGAAUAGAUCCUGGCAAACUUGCAUAUGGUGUUCUUUCUGUUCUUAUGUGAACAUUCAUGGGACCCACCCGGCACAAGCUUUGCAAUACUCUUAACGUUGUCACUAGUGUUUCCAACUCACUGAGGCUGACAUUCAUCUUUGUACAAAGCCCCCAGCAUAAUAAUAAUAAUAAAAGUGGGCCAAGAUAAUAAAAUAGGAGGCAUUACUUUCAGGGCAGCCCUUCUGUAAUAAGCUUAAAAAAUUAUAAUCUGAAUUCUUGAUUCUCAUCAGUAGAAGGUAAUCUUGACACAAACAUGUUACCCACACACAGUGAUGACUAUGACAACAUUUUUUUUUCACCUCUAGAAAUACGUGUCCUUAAUCAGCCUUGUGUUAAUACAGCGUCAAGGCAAGCACUAUCCAUGCCCUGAGCCAUGUAUCAAUAGAAAAAGAAGCAGAAUAAAGACAAUGUGAUUUCAAGACUUAUUUUCAGGGCAGUCUACAUACGGUAUGAACACAGAGGAACCAGUCAGUCUGCAUUUAAAUAGUUAAUUACAGAUAUUAAUGUCUACUCUGCUGUAUUAGAAAAAUAAAUGUAAUGGCUUUUCCUGCCAGGAGGGUGCUUCACAUAAUGGAUUGCUUUGCUGAUGUGACUAAAUACCUUUCUGAUAUUGAUCCACACAGAGGAGGAGAGAAAACCUAAGAAAACUCUUGAAGGUAUUAUAAAGCAGCCAGGGAGACAGAUCAGGGUUGUGGCAGCAGAACAGAAUUUAUGCAUUCAGAAUUGAUGCAAAAAGCACUUCUGAAACUGCCAAGUCUUUCCAGGAAGAGCCGACAGACAGACAGAGGAACUGUUUCUUCAUCUUGUAUGUGUCCUCAGCUCCACAUGUCCUGGAACAGACGGUUUAUUCCUUGCAUGCUGUGACCAAGGGAAGGUCUCCUCUUCUAUUCAGAUCUUCGGAGCAUAUUUUAGUAAUCCCUCACCUGGACAUGCUUGCUGUUAGGUGGUGCUAAGCCUCUGGAACAUGUUUGCAGAAGAGGAAACUCCAGUCUGGAUACAGCUACCCUUGCUCAUUUAUCCCCACCUGCAUCCCAGUGUUCUGCAGGUAUGGAGAUUCAUGUUUCUUGCUAUGCCCUUAGAACAAUGAAUGGUGUAAAUAAGGCAGCUCUGGUUUCAAUGACCUUCUCAGAAAAAAAGAAGGCUGAAAGGAGUGAGGGAAGAGUACGAAGAAAAUGUUGGGAGAUCAUCAGACAAAAGGUCCUGAGCAGUUCGAGAUCUACUCGCCCUAAAGGUUGUUGCCUCUUGUACUUCCACUGUGCACCCCCAUGAAAAGUCUACCUCAGUUCUCUCUACAGUCACACUUUACACAGUUGAAGACAGCUACUGAAUCCCCUUAUUCCGCUUAUAUCCAGACUGAAGAAGCCCAGCUACUCAGGGUUCAGCUUGCAUGUCUUGUGCUCUAGCACUCAGACAUCAUAGUGGGCCUCUCUGAACCCCCUCUGGUUUAUCAGUUUAUUUUUUAUAUUGAGCAUAAAGAGCCCAAAUCUGGACCAGUUGUAAUGCAAUUCCACAUAUGGAAAUAAAUCACCUUCCCAGUCUGCUAGCUACACACACACUAUCACCCAUUAUGUGGUAGGCCUAGGAUUGUGCUGUAUCUAAUUAUCUGGACUAAAAUCAAUUUCAGUACCUCUCUACUGUUCUACUAUUUAAUUAUCCUUGGUGUAAGUAUAUACAUCUUUUUCAUUAUAUCCAGUCAGAACAUCUCUUUUCAGCUUAUGACUAAUUUCUCUCACUUUCCCAGCAUGUACUAUAGUGAAGAACUUGUCUGUGUCUCCUUGAUGACCUCCCUGUGGUUGUUGACAGGCUGCUAUUUGAUUCCUUUGAAGCCUUCAUUUUCCCAGGCUGAACAAACCAAGUUUUCUCACCCUCUACUCACAAGUCAUGCGAUCACCUUCUUGCCCUUCAAGUGCCUGGAAACAUUCUAUGAGUCUUUGCUCUGUAAACCCC